UUCUGUGAGGGUUGACAGAUUGAGAGCUCUUUCUUGAUUCGGCGGAUGGUUGUGCAUGUCCGUUCUUAGUUGGUGGAGCGAUUUGUCUGGUUAAUUCCGAUAACGAACGAGACUCUAGCCUAUUAAAUAGGUGCGUGGUUCUCUGCACCUUGCUCCCUAGAGAAUCAAGCGGCUCCUAGCCGCACGAAACGGAGCAAUAACAGGUAUGUGAUGCCCUUAGAU
rnacentral:rRNA from 1 species